UACGGGGGGGGCAAGCGUUGUUCGGAAUUACUGGGCGUAAAGGGCUCGUAGGCGGCCAACUAAGUCGGAUGUGAAAUCCCCAGGCUCAACCUGGGAACUGCAUCCGAUACUGGAUGGCUUGAAUCCGGGAGAGGGAUGCAGAAUUCCAGGUGUAGCGGUGAAAUGCGUAGAUAUCUGGAGGAAUACCGGUGGCGAAGGCGGCAUCCUGGACCGGCAUUGACGCUGAUGAGCGAAAAGCUAGGGGAGCAAACGGGG
rnacentral:rRNA from 1 species